CAGAAUUCUUUGAAAAGGAUUUACACUAUAUUUUCAUUCUGGUACUAGGUAAACCUGGAACCAACCCAAGCACUAAGACUCCAGAUUGAGCAUAUGUAUCAGCUGUUUAACUACAAAGACCUGCAUUAUUUGACUCUCCCCUGGUAGAAUGCAAGUCCUGUCUAGAAGCCACAUCCCACUAACCCAACUGGGACUCAGUCCUACAGCCACAUGGAACUUAAUUUUGGCAACACCUCAAUGACUUUGGAAGAGGAUUCAUUCCUAAGAACCUCAAGAAAACAUCACAGCCCUGCUGAAACUGAUUUCAGGACUGAGUGACUUGGAGCAAAAAACCAGCUAAGCUACAUUGUGUACAGGCUUCUGAUUCAUAGAACUCUGUUGUUUGAAGCCAUUAAUUUUGGAAAGUUGUUCCAGCAACAGAAAACUAAUAAAAUUGUGAUUCCAGUC